GACGAACGCUGGCGGCGUGCUUAACACAUGCAAGUCGAACGGAAAGGCCCUGCUUUUGUGGGGUGCUCGAGUGGCGAACGGGUGAGUAACACGUGAGUAACCUGCCCUUGACUUUGGGAUAACUUCAGGAAACUGGGGCUAAUACCGGAUAGGAGCUCCUGCUGCAUGGUGGGGGUUGGAAAGUUUCGGCGGUUGGGGAUGGACUCGCGGCUUAUCAGCUUGUUGGUGGGGUAGUGGCUUACCAAGGCUUUGACGGGUAGCCGGCCUGAGAGGGUGACCGGCCACAUUGGGACUGGGAUACGGCCCAGACUCCUACGGGAGGCAGCGGUGGGGAAUAUUGCACAAUGGGCGGAAGCCUGAUGCAGCAACGCCGCGUGCGGGAUGACGGCCUUCGGGUUGUAAACCGCUUUCGCCUGUGACGAAGCGCGAGUGACGGUACUGGGUAAAGAAGCACCGGCUAACUACGU
rnacentral:rRNA from 1 species